GGGUCUUUGGCCUAACGGUACAAGGCAACGCCCUUUUAAGGCGUGAGAUGAUGGUUCAAAUCCAUCAAAACCCA
rnacentral:tRNA from 2 species